rnacentral:rRNA from 1 species
AACGAACGCUGGCGGCAUGCCUAACACAUGCAAGUCGAACGAGACCUUCGGGUCCGGUGGCGCACGGGUGCGUAACGCGUGGGAACCUGCCUUUAGGUUCGGAAUAACUCAGAGAAAUUUGAGCUAAUACCGGAUAAUGUCUUCGGACCAAAGAUUUAUCGCCUUUAGAUGGGCCCGCGUUGGAUUAGCUAGUUGGUGGGGUAAAGGCCUACCAAGGCGACGAUCCAUAGCUGGUCUGAGAGGAUGAUCAGCCACACUGGGACUGAGACACGGCCCAGACUCCUACGGGAGGCAGCAGUGGGGAAUAUUGGACAAUGGGCGAAAGCCUGAUCCAGCAAUGCCGCGUGAGUGAUGAAGGCCUUAGGUUGUAAGACUCUUUACCCGUAGGAUGAUAAUGACAGUA